CAAAGACUUCAGUCAUUAGUUCAUAAGAGUAAACUUUAAGUCUUCUCUUUCUCAGAAAAAGACUGAAGAGAAGAAGGAUGGGAGAGGCAAGGGCGUUCUUCCCAGCAUGUGGGCAUCCUUCCGCAUUCCAGCCCAGGGCCACUGUACACCCCUCUUCUCAGUCCUGUACCUCCUGGGGAAGCAAGGACGGCACUAGAACUCCCCAUAGGCAGGAGCAAGACUUGGACAUCUUCCCAGGCUUUCUGAGCCCUUCCUGCCAGCCCUGCAGUAUUGGAGGAGAGGAUUAUUUUGUCACUGUUGGGGUCUGGGCAGUUAGUGGAGCCUAAGGCACAGCCCAGAGGAUCACAGAGACUCUCCAUUUCAUUCUGCAGUGUAAAUCCCCACCACAAUGAAGCCCGGCUUCACUUGGCUUUCAAUGUGGUGGUGAAGGGGGGGCCUUGUAUUUUCCCAGUGGAACUGUAUAAUACAUUUGGAAACAUAUUCAUAGGGAGAAAAUAGUAGGGAAAGUACUGAAAAGAAAACAAAAUAAAGAUGGAAAAAGAAAAUGGUGAGCUGACCACAGAAAGCUUUGAUGUUAUCAUUCACAUAGCUCCACUUCGAUGAUUAAAAACAGCUGCUUAUCUUGGAAUUAGGAAGAUAAGAUUCAGGUAAGAACUGGAAGACAGCUCUGAGCAGAAGCUGCUAGCACCUUGUGGCACCUGCGGCUCCCCGCUGGGGCCAGCAAGGGAGCUCUGGCUGUGUGUCCACCAUAGUGGCUUCUGGUUCAGCUGAUGGCCCUAGGGUAGAAGGAUUUAAAAGAAAUAAAGGCCACCCUACCAAGGGACUAUUCAGUGACCCCUUCAUCUUCUGACACAUGGAAUUGGGAGUUGGAACUAACUCAAAACUUCCAAACUGCUGAGCAGCAUCUUAGUAAACAUAUGGGCUGCAAAAUAAGUGUAGGGAACCAAGACUUGGGAAACCUGAUACCUGCUCAGGGAAGGGACUUGCUGAGCCUCUUGGGAGUGGGGCACUUUCUGAGCUGGUGCUCCAUGAUUGCUUCAUCUCAGAGAAGCCUUGUAAUCAUGGGGAAAAGCAUACUGAAAAUCAGCAUGAUUACCAAUUCUUAUGCAAGAUUUAACAAAAACAUGAAGAAAUAGUUUAACUCACAGGGGUCACAUAAUAGUUCUGUAUAUUAAGUAAAAUUAAUUCAUGUUUUUAAUAAUAUUCCUAGAGUGGACCAUGUGGCCUCCAAUACUGUGGUCAUUUUAAUCAGCAGGGUGAGCUGAGUCCACUGGUCAGGCUCAGCAGCACCCCAUGUGUCCACUUCAUCCCUGCUGGGCUUGGUGACUUUACUUUGGUAGCAGGAAGUGGACAUUUGUGACUCCAUUUUUAUGCCAUGGACAUUGGCUACUGCUAUAAUCCAGGGUCUUGUUUUCUCUUGUAGAACACCUGUGAGCCAGUUAUUAGCACACCGCUGAAUUACACACACAUUUUAUAAGAAAAAGGGACCCAAUAUAAAUAGAAGUCUCUGUAAUUAAGAAUCUUGCUCACUGGUAAAUAUUUUAAUAAGACACUGCUUAUGAGAGAUAGCAUUAAGUUAGACUGUCUAGGUGCAAAUCUUUUAUUAGUUAUCAGUUAAUAAAAUCCCUGUGCCUUAGUCUCCUCAUACUUAAAAUGAGAACAUAAUAAUGCCUAUUGCAUCGGAUUGUUUUGAUGGUGAAAUGAGCUAACAUAUGUAAUACACUGCAAAAAACGCCUCGUGUAGGAAACAUGCUUGGUGAGUUCAUUCUAUUAACAUCAACAGGCUGUUUAGACUUCUCCUAAAACACUGCCUAAUUUCAGUGUUACUUUUCCUGUUGAGAUUUUAUAUCUUUUAGAAACCUGUACCCAACUUCCACAAGUUUGUGAAGAUCCAUUAAAUGGAAGCACGUCAAAUCACUCCAAAAUGCACAAAGCACUGAUUAAAUACAGAGGAGACUGGUGCCCAAUAAACUGCAGAGAGAGUGAAGUAUGGAUGACACGAACUUCAAGGACUUCUUCGAACUUACAGAAGCUAGGUCACAACUGCCAUAUUUUUCACAUAUUUAUAAAUUUAGGACACCAGAAGAAUCAUCUUCUUUAAUAAUGGACAAAUUGACACCGUGUAAUGAAGCAUCUCAUUGCAGUUACUACAUGCUACUUUUUAAAUGUGGAGCUGGGGAUGAACCAAGCACCUGGUCUGUGCUCUGCCAUGAGCUCCACCCACUGCGAGUCCCCAGUGUUGUCCUUUAAAGCAUAACUUAAAUAAUACCCAUAUACCUUUUUUUCUCUUUCCUUAUGACAUGAAUGAUCCUGUAGAAGUGAGAAGGAAUUUAUAUUUUUUUUCUUAAACUCACAAAAAGCAACACAGAAGGAAAAGGUCCCAGACCUCACAGGCAUAGACACCCACUGCGCAGAGCAGCCUUGGAGGCGUUGUGCACUUUGCAUCUGGGAGCCAAGGACCUUGGACACGCGCUACUUUAGGUACUUAGUGUCCCGGGCUUAUUUAGUGUUUGAUGUAGAGAAACAUUUACCUCUCUACAGCAUUGUGUGCUCAUUUACAUAAUAUUCUUGUAGCAGAAAACUACCGAGGGCAAAAUUAGGUGGCGUGGAAAUAGCAGUGCUUCACAGCUAGGCUAAUGGAAUUGCAGAGACCACAGCACACAGGGAGCAAACACAGUCCCUGCCUACAUGGAGGGACUCUUACUUUUCAGCUACCUUAUAAAUAGGUGUUAGGCUAUCCCUAUUUUACACCAAGGAAGCUAACACUCAAGGAGAUUAAAAAAUUUGCUAUAGUUUUACAAUUUUUAAAUGACAAACUGAAUAAAAACGCAGGAAACUGUUUAAGGCAUAAAAAUGUAUUUAUUUGUUGGAGGGAAUAUAAGGGACCUUCAGCCUAAAUAUUACAGUUCUACUUAACAUGGAUAAUGGAGUGCUAGUAAAGGGUAGGUAAAGAAAAGAAGGAUGAAUCAUUAUAAAAGGUGUUUGGAGCAUAAAAUGACUUUUUCUUUCCUUGACAUGUGUUUCUGAGUCUUUAAUGUGCUAUCAUCUUCCAGAAGUCGCCAAGAGACUAAUUUUACCAGCAUAUUUAAUCAUCAAUUCUGCCUCUUCCCCAUUCUGUCCACAGCAGCACCUUAUGGGAAGCAUUCUAGAAAAUGCAUUUGAAUACCUAAUCUGGAAUACCCCUAAGUUAAUACCCUGGACUCUGCCCAGGCUCUGUGGACAGCUCAACGCCACACUUUCUUCAUGUAAACACUGCUGGCUACCCUGUCCCAGAAGAAAUUGUUCCUUUUCAAAUCUUUGUGAAAUUUCUGAUAUAUUGUAGUUGCAUAAUAUUUAGAAUACAAGUAUAGCUAGGGAAAUAGAAAUAUGUAUAGCAC
ensembl:lncRNA